UACGAAGGGGGCUAGCGUUGCUCGGAAUCACUGGGCGUAAAGCGCACGUAGGCGGCUUCUUAAGUCAGGGGUGAAAUCCUGGAGCUCAACUCCAGAACUGCCUUUGAUACUGAGGAGCUUGAGUCCGGGAGAGGUGAGUGGAACUCCGAGUGUAGAGGUGAAAUUCGUAGAUAUUCGGCAAGAACACCAGUGGCGAAGGCGGCUCACUGGCCCGGUACUGACGCUGAGGUGCGAAAGCGUGGGGAGCAAA
rnacentral:rRNA from 1 species